rnacentral:rRNA from 1 species
CCUACGGGAGGCAGCAGCAAGGAAUUUUGCGCAAUGGGCGAAAGCCUGACGCAGCAACGCCGCGUGGGUGAAGAAGGCCUUCGGGUCGUAAAGCCCUUUUGUUAGGGAAGAAGUUCUGACGGUACCUAACGAAUAAGCCUCGGCUAACUACGUGCCAGCAGCCGCGGUAAUACGUAGGAGGCGAGCGUUAUCCGGAUUUAUUGGGCGUAAAGAGCGCGUAGGCGGCCUAUUAAGUCGGUUGUGAAAUCUCUUGGCUUAACUGAGAGGGGUCAACCGAAAC